GUAGGUGAACCUGCGGAAGGAUCAUUGCAAGAUAUUCUCCGGCGCGAGCCGGGGAAGCCUUUGGCGCGAGCCAAAGGUGUUUGUGCGAGGGGACGCGAGUCCCCUGACACUGCGCGUCUUUGUUUGUCAGUUGGAAAAUGGAUUAAGCAGAAAACUUUUAACAAUGGAUCUCUUGGCUCUU
rnacentral:misc_RNA from 1 species